rfam:Oryza punctata chromosome 8, whole genome shotgun sequence.
UUUAAGCACAAUUAUAAAUUUACGUGUUCAAUUUUGAUCAUUCGUCUUAUUUAAAUUUUUUUAUGAUUAGUACUUUUAUUAUUAAUAGAUAAUAAAACAUGAAUUAUACUUUUAUGCUUGACUUAUGUUUUUUAGUUUUUUAAUAAAAUUUCAAAUAAGAUGGACGAUUAAAAUUGAACACAGAAACUCAUGAUUGUGUUUAGG